rnacentral:rRNA from 1 species
CGACGCCGCGUGAGGGAUGACGGCCUUCGGGUUGUAAACCUCUUUCAGUAGGGAAGAAGCGAAAGUGACGGUACCUGCAGAAGAAGCGCCGGCUAACUACGUGCCAGCAGCCGCGGUAAUACGUAGGGCGCAAGCGUUAUCCGGAAUUAUUGGGCGUAAAGAGCUCGUAGGCGGUUUGUCGCGUCUGCCGUGAAAGUCCGGGGCUCAACUCCGGAUCUGCGGUGGGUACGGGCAGACUAGAGUGAUGUAGGGGAGACUGGAAUUCCUGGUGUAGCGGUGAAAUGCGCAGAUAUCAGGAGGAACACCGAUGGCGAAGGCAGGUCUCUGGGCAUUAACUGACGCUGAGGAGCGAAAGCAUGGGGAGCGAACAGGAUUAGAUACCCUGGUAGUCCAUGCCGUAAACGUUGGGCACUAGGUGUGGGGGACAUUCCACGUUUUCCGCGCCGUAGCUAACGCAUUAAGUGCCCCGCCUGGGGAGUACGGCCGCAAGGCUAAAACUCAAAGGAAUUGACGG